ACUACUACUGUUGAGUCAUCAUCAGGAAUUAUGAAAGCUACUAAAAUUUUACAAGUUAUAAGUACAGGUGUGUUAUAAGAUGAUCUAAUCUGUCAACAAGUUCUAAUUAAAGAUAACAAGUUCUUUUGACGCUUUAGUCCCUUGAAUUAAACCAUGGGACUAAAGCUUUCAUAAUUCCUGAUGAUGACUCAACAGUAGUCGA